CAUAUGACUGCAUUUGAAUUUAUAUCUGCUGUUUUCUAAAUACGAAAGCCUCAGUUUCUUCAUCUGUAAUGUAUGGUUUAUAUCUCAAAAGUGUGUGAUGAAGAUAAAGAUAAUGUAAGAUAGUUAUUACUUUUCCUCCUUCCCUUUUAGGGAGUGUGGAAUAUCCUCUGACAACUCCCUAGAGUCUCUGAGUUUAUUGAGCUUAAGCCACUAAUGUGUUUGGCCUUUGUGGAAGCAAAAGGAGAAGGAGGAGAAAGUAUUCCAAGUGGGGAGCCUAGCAAAGGUGUGGAAGUGCUGAAGGACAGGUGAUCCAAUUUGCUUAAACAUAGGACACCUGGAAGAGAAUCCCUGCCACGUAAACACAGAAAGCAAAUGCUGAUCGAAGCCCAGAGCAGAUGGACGUUCCUCCUGCGGCCACGGUUGGUAAGCUUCUGCAAUCGGGGAUAAGAUACUUCACUAAAUUCCUAAGUGUCAAGAAGACAAAAAUACAAGAACAGAAUACUUACAGAAUCAAUACUUUGUGCAAACAUUAUGGAAGCCUUCACAGUCUGCACGCCAUGAGGUUUCAGAAAGAUAGCAGACCAGAAAGUAGCCUUCAAGCUCCUCAGCAGGAAUGCGGCCUUAUUCUACCUGUUCUCCCAAGUUCCUAGUUCCUGUCACCUAGAGGCCGUUACCUUCCCCAGAAGUCUGUGCAUCCCUCCUGGAUGCUCUGAGUACCCUGUUCUUAUUCCUAUCAUGGUGUUUUAUUGUAAAGCACCUAGAACAAGAUCCAUCACACAGCAGAUAUUCAAAAAUCCCCAUUGAGGAAAUUCUGACCUGAAUACGUUGUUGAAAAAUGUCUCCGGUUCCAGAGGGGAUUCUACUGAAAGCAUCAAUCAUGCUAUUGGAGUUUGAUUUAUCUGGAACAAAGAACUUUACACCUCCUGAAAUACAUGAUUGGGAUGUUAACCAUUAAAAUGUAUAAAAUAAAACAAAAAAUAAUAUGUGAGGUCUUUUCCAACAACCUUUCCCAUGUAAGAGGCUUAGUUUUGGGGAAGGAGGUGUAGCACUUGGCUGGCAGUGCAUGGCAUCCUGCCAGCCACAUGGUGAGCAGCAGAGGUGUUCGACCACAGAUGAGCCCAGGGCAAUGGAAUGAAUGGUUGAACCACUGCUGAGCACA